AUGGCCCUCCCCCUCGCCCUCCCCCUCGCCGCGCUGCUCCUCUCCGCCGCCGCGCCCGCGCUGGCUCAUACCCCGUCAUGCCCCGACGGUUGGCAAAUCAGUCCUGAUCGGGCCAAAUGCUUCAUGCACAUCUCAACAUCCCUUUCCUGGGACGGAUCCGAAGCCCUCUGCCGCAACUUCAGCGGUCAUCUGGCUGCAUUAUCAUCAGUUCAGGAGCUGAAUUUCGCGAGGUCUCUCUGUGGAGCUGCCUCCUCCGGGUGCUGGGUUGGAGGGCGUCGCCGCAACACCAGUAGUGGUGUUGUUGGCUGGAAAUGGUCUGACAAUUCGUCUUCUUGGAACGGGACCGCAUUUCCCGGUGAGCCGUUGCGUCCCAAUUGCACCGGUGCUCGCUGCGGUCUAGCCACCGGCGACGAUAUGUGCACUUUGGUGACCAGUAAGCACACUGCACUUACCGGAAAGAAGUGUGCCGAGUCACAUGGGCUGAUUUGCAUGAUGAAUCACGAAGAUAGGUGCUACCAUGAUCACUGCCACAAGGAGUAUUUCAUAGUCCUCAUCGUCGUAAGCGGCUUGAUUCUCUCGACCACGCUAGCUGUUGUGGUUUGGCUGCUCGUCUACAAGCGAAGCAAGAAAAGGAAAAGAUCACGUGAAGCUUCCGGCGCUUCAGCUACCGCAUUAGUGCCACCGCUGUGGAAAGUGUUCAACAGUGAAGAGCUUAGAUCGAUAACCAAGAACUUCAGUGAGGGAAACCGGCUGCCUGGAAAUGCCAAGACAGGUGGUACCUACAGUGGAACCUUGCCAGAUGGAUCCAAACUAGCAAUUAAGAGAUUGAAGAGAUCCAGCCUACAAAGGAAAAAGGAUUUCUACUCUGAGAUCAGUAGAGUCGCAAAGCUCUAUCAUCCUAACUUGGUGGCUGUAAAAGGAUGUUGUUAUGAUCAUGGCGACCGCUUUAUUGUCUAUGAGUUUGUCGCCAAUGGUCCGUUGGAUGUGUGGCUGCAUCAUAUUCCCAGAGGAGGGCGGAGCCUUGAUUGGGCAACGAGAAUGAGAGUUGCCACAACUCUUGCACAGGGGAUUGCAUUUUUGCAUGACAAGGUGAAGCCCCAGGUAGUCCACCGUGAUAUCCGUGCGAGCAACGUCCUUCUCGACGAGGAAUUUGGUUCCCAUCUGAUGGGGGUCGGGCUGUCCAAGUUUGUGCCGUGGGAAGUAAUGCACGAGCGGACCGUCAAGGCGGCAACAUACGGAUACCUUGCCCCCGAGUUCAUUUACAGGAACGAGCUGACAACAAAGAGCGAUGUCUACAGCUUCGGCGUGCUGCUUCUAGAAAUCAUCAGUGGCCGUCGCCCAGCGCAGUCGGUUGAAUCUGCUGGAUGGCAGACAAUAUUCGAAUGGGCGACGCCGCUGGUCCAAUCACACCGGCAUCUGGAGCUGCUGGACCCGCUCAUCAACGACAUGCCGGAGAUAGGAGUGAUCCAGAAGGUCGUGGACCUCGUCUACGCCUGCACCCAGCAUGUCCCCUCGGUGCGGCCAAGGAUGUCUCAUGUCGUCCAUCAGCUGCAGCAGCUUGAGCUAAAGUCAGCGGCGUCUGAGCAGCUGAGGAGCGGGACCAGCACCAGCGCGACCUCUCCGAUGCUGCCAUUGGAGGUCCGGACACCUCGCUGA
rnacentral:rRNA from 1 species